rnacentral:rRNA from 1 species
AUUGAACGCUGGCGGCAUGCCUUACACAUGCAAGUCGAACGGUAACGCGGGGCAACCUGGCGACGAGUGGCGAACGGGUGAGUAAUACAUCGGAACGUACCUUAUCGUGGGGGAUAACGCAGCGAAAGCUGUGCUAAUACCGCAUACGCCCUGAGGGGGAAAGCGGGGGAUCGCAAGACCUCGCGCGAUUAGAGCGGCCGAUGCCUGAUUAGCUUGUUGGGGGGGUAAAAGCCCACCAAGGCGACGAUCAGUAGCUGGUCUGAGAGGACGAUCAGCCACACUGGGACUGAGACACGGCCCAGCCACCUACGGGAGGCAGCAGUGGGGAAUUUUGGACAAUGGGGGCAACACUGAUCCAGCAAUGCCGCGUGAGUGAAGAAGGCCUUCGGGUUGUAAAGCUCUUUUGUCAGGGAAGAAACACCGGCUCUAACACAGUCCGGGAAUGACGGUACCUGAAGAAUAAGCACCGGCUAACUACGUGCCAGCAGCCGCGGUAA